UACGGGGGGGGUAAGCGUUGUUCGGAAUUACUGGGCGUAAAGGGCUCGUAGGCGGCCAACUAAGUCAGACGUGAAAUCCCUCAGCUUAACUGGGGAACUGCGUCUGAUACCGGAUGGCUUGGAUUCGGGAGAGGAAUGCGGAAUUCCAGGUGUAGCGGUGAAAUGCGUAGAUAUCUGGAGGAACACCGGUGGCGAAGGCGGCAUUCUGGACCGAUAUUGACGCUGAGGAGCGAAAGCCAGGGGAGCAAACGGG
rnacentral:rRNA from 1 species